ACGCACGCUGGCGGCGUGCUUCACCCAUGCAAGUCGAACGGAAAGGCCCUGCUUUUGUGGGGUGCUCGAGUGGCGAACGGGUGAGUAACACGUGAGUAACCUGCCCUUGACUUUGGGAUAACUUCAGGAAACUGGGGCUAAUACCGGAUAGGAGCUCCUGCUGCAUGGUGGGGGUUGGAAAGUUUCGGCGGUUGGGGAUGGACUCGCGGCUUAUCAGCUUGUUGGUGGGGUAGUGGCUUACCAAGGCUUUGACGGGUAGCCGGCCUGAGAGGGUGACCGGCCACAUUGGGACUGAGAUACGGCCCAGACUCCUACGGGAGGCAGCAGUGGGGAAUAUUGCACAAUGGGCGGAAGCCUGAUGCAGCAACGCCGCGUGCGGGAUGACGGCCUUCGGGUUGUAAACCGCUUUCGCCUGUGACGAAGCGUGAGUGACGGCAAUGGGUAAAGAAGCACCGGCUAACUACGUG
rnacentral:rRNA from 1 species